UACGGAGGGGGCUAGCGUUGUUCGGAAUUACUGGGCGUAAAGCGCACGUAGGCGGCUUGGUAAGUUAGAGGUGAAAGCCUGGAGCUCAACUCCAGAACUGCCAUUGAAACUGUUAGACUUGAGUACGAGAGAGGUGAGUGGAAUUCCCAGUGUAGAGGUGAAAUUCGUAGAUAUUGGGAAGAACACCAGUGGCGAAGGCGGCUCACUGGCUCGUAACUGACGCUCAGGCGCGACAGCGUGGGGAUCAAACAGG
rnacentral:rRNA from 1 species